rnacentral:rRNA from 1 species
GACGGACCGUACGAACGUUAUUCGGAAUUACUGGGCUUAAAGGGUGCGUAGGCGGCUCAGAAAGUUGAAUGUGAAAGCCCUCGGCUUAACCGAGGAAUUGCAUCCAAAACUACUGGGCUUGAGUGAGAUAGAGGUGAGCGGAACUCACGGUGGAGCGGUGAAAUGCGUUGAUAUCGUGAGGAACACCGGUGGCGAAAGCGGCUCACUGGAUCUUUGCUGACGCUGAGGCACGAAAGCUAGGGUAGCGAACGGG